rnacentral:rRNA from 1 species
CCUACGGGUGGCAGCAGUGAGGAAUAUUGGUCAAUGGGCGGGAGCCUGAACCAGCCAAGCCGCGUGAGGGAAGAAGGUACAGCGUAUCGUAAACCUCUUUUGUCAGGGAACAAAGGCGGGGACUAGUCCCCGGAUGAGGGUACCUGAAGAAAAAGCAUCGGCUAACUCCGUGCCAGCAGCCGCGGUAAUACGGAGGAUGCGAGCGUUAUCCGGAUUUAUUGGGUUUAAAGGGUGCGCAGGUGGCCUGUUAAGUCAGCGGGAAAAGCCCGGGGCUCAACCCCGGCGAGCCGUUGAAACUGGCGGGAUGGAGUUGGAGAGAAGUACGCGGAAUGCGCGGUGUAGCGGUGAAAUGCUUAGAUAUCGCGCAGAACCCCGAUUGCGAAGGCAGCGUACCGGCUCCACACUGACGCUGAGGCACGAAAGCGUGGGUAUCGAACAGGAUUAGAUACCCUAGUAGUC